GUCGUAACAAGGUCUCCGUAGGUGAACCUGCGGAGGGAUCAUUACACAAAUAUGAAGGCGGGCUGGAACCUCUCGGGGUUACAGCCUUGCUGAAUUAUUCACCCUUGUCUUUUGCGUACUUCUUGUUUCCUUGGUGGGUUCGCCCACCACUAGGACAAACAUAAACCUUUUGUAAUUGCAAUCAGCGUCAGUAACAAAUUAAUAAUUACAACUUUCAACAACGGAUCUCUUGGUUCUGGCAUCGAUGAAGAACGCAGCGAAAUGCGAUAAGUAGUGUGAAUUGCAGAAUUAAGUGAAUCAUCGAAUCUUUGAACGCACAUUGCGCCCUUUGGUAUUCCAAAGGGCAUGCCUGUUCGAGCGUCAUUUGUACCCUCAGGCUUUGCUUGGUGUUGGGCGUCUUGUCUCUAGCUUUGCUGGAGACUCGCCUUAAAGUAAUUGGCAGCCGGCCUACUGGUUUCGGAGCGCAGCACAAGUCGCACUCUCUAUCAGCAAAGGUCUAGCAUCCACUAAGCCUUUUUUUCAACUUUUGACCUCGGAUCAGGUAGGGAUACCCGCUGAACUUAAGCAUAUCA
rnacentral:rRNA from 1 species